rnacentral:rRNA from 1 species
UACGUAGGGGGCUAGCGUUGUCCGGAAUCAUUGGCGUAAAGCGCGUGUAGGCGGUCCGGUAAGUCCGCUGUGAAAGUCGGGGCUCAACCUCGGAUGCCGGUGGAUACUGUCGGGCUUGAGUACGGAAGAGGCGAGUGGAAUUCCUGGUGGUAGCGGUGAAAUGCGCAGAGUAUCAGGAGGAACACCAAUUGCGAAGGCAGCUCGCUGGGACGUGACUGACGCUGAGAC